UUCUUUUUAAUUUUCUUAAACCCUUUUGUUUUCUUUUGAGAUUUUCUCUUCCCUUUUUAUUUUUAUUUCUCCUCUUUUAUUUUCUUUGAGGCUUUUAGUAUAAAUACCCAUUUUUGGGUCAUAACUUCAUUACCAUGUACAUAAUUAAGCUUAGUUCUCCUUUUCUCUUAGGGUUUAGGGUUUUAGUUAGUUUUUGGAGAGAGAAAGUGAGAAACACAAUGGGUUGAAGAUGGAUUUUGAUGAUUCAAAGAUGGGAGUUAAUGAUUUGGAGAUCUCCAUCAAUAAUCAAUGAGAAUUUCUUACUUUUCUCUCUUCAUAAAUUGUCAUAUUUAUUGUUUUAUAUGUUUCUUGAUUAGAUUAGUUUCAUGUUUAGUCUUAUAAUUAAAUCUUUAAAUUAUUUGUUGUUUUGCUUAGUAUCAUGUUAUUAGUUAUUAAAGUCUUUAAAUUUAUUGGUUUUAUGUUGAUUGAGUAGUGUAUUGGUUAGGGUUUGGGUGAAAACCUAACAAUGAUUGAUUUGGGUAAAUGAGUUUGAAUUUGGUGAUGUUGCAUGAUUAAACUAUUGUUUGUUUGAGCAUACUCAAACUUUGUUGUAUGCAAAUUAGCUACUUGUGUAUGAUUUAGAUUUUUGGGGUAGUUGACUUUAGGAAAAUCGAGGGAUCGUGACUUAAGUUGACUAUUGUUUGGUUUGUGCUUAACCGUGACCUAAGGGUAGUUGUGUGUAGGGCGGGAGUUCGCAUUUGACUAUUCUAAGAAUUGAUCCAAGGCGGGAGUCAUUUGGGGAUCUAUUUCUAACCAACGCAUCAUUCAUACUUUGCUUAUGCAUCAUCAUUCUUAAUUGUUGCUCGUAUACUUGUUUCAUUAUUGUUGGUGUUUGAUCUCAUUCCUUGACCAUGUUUGUCCUUUGGUAGUUAGUUUAGUUUUAGUUGGUUAGUUGACUUUUCCAACCCUAUUCCGACCUAACUUGUUGUUCGAUUAGCAUAAAUUAGCGCACCUUAGUCCUUGUGGAUUUCGACCCUUACUUGUCGCUUUACUUGUGUUUAGUGGUUAGUUUAGGUUUUUUUAUUUGAUUAGGAGAGACUAGUAUCGACCUAGUUUUCCCCUCGAUCAAAAUGGCGCCGUUGCCGGGGACUACGGUUUGCAUUAGUUUGUGUUAGUUAGAUGAGUCUAGGUCAUUGUGCAUAGUUCUUUUUGUUUUUCUUAUUUAUUUGUUUUAUUUUGAAAAAUUCAAAAAAAUGGCAUGUUUCUUGUUUCCUCAAUUUGAGCGUGAACCGUUUUGGAGGUAUUUUGAAAGACUUGAGGAAUCUCUUGGAAGUGAUCAUAGGUUUGAUUUGUGGGAGUUAUGUGAAAUGAUUUAUGAUGGUCUUAAUGAACUUACUAGGGGAAUGGUUGAGAAUAUGUUUCAUGGUGAAUUUCGGGCUAAAUCAUUGGAUGAAGCAUGGAAUUUUUAUAAUUGGUUAGCUAGAGAUACCUAUGAUUGGGAAAUGACCAAUCAUGGGACAUGUGUUAGGGAUUUUCAUGUUUCUAAUGUUGAUUCUAGUUUUUGCAUGAAUUCCCUUGAAAUGUCCCAUGAUUUCAAUAGUGAGCCAAAUAUGCAUGAUUCUAAUCCCGUUUCCCCUUAUUCUCAUGUUGAUGAGUUGCAUUCUAAUGUAAAUGUUUUUUAUGCUUCUUAUCAAAGCCCUUCAAUUACUUGCAAGAAUUUGCAUGAUCUCCCUCAUAUGCUUGAUUGUGACUCUUCUUCCCUUGUUGAUUUUCAAAAUUCUAUGCAUUCAAAAUCAUCGGAACCUAACUUGGAGCUUCUUCUUGAGAAUUGCAUCAAAGAGUUUAAUUCUAGGGCCAACCAAAUAGCCGAUUACACGACCUUUCUUGAGGCUAAAAUCAAUGCUAUUCGAAAACCCAUAGAUCAUUUUGCUAUUAUUGACGAUGAUUUGAUGAAUGUUGAGAAUGAAAAUAAAUUGGGAAAGAGUAGUCUAAAUCUUGAUGGUGGUUUUUGGGAUGAUGAAGAUGUGGAGCAUGAUGUUGAGGAGAGUGAGGUAGCCUCUUUUGGAGAUUGGUUAGUUGAGGGUGUAGAAAAUCAUGAGCCCUUAUUGAUUGAUGAUUCGAUUCUUGAGUCUCUUACUCCUAUCUCAAGUGACCUUAAUUUCACUCCCUUUCCGCUAUCUUUAGAGCACCCGUCCUCUCAUAUCCCCUCUUCCUUGAGUGAUUUCUUUGGUCAAUGUGGAAGUAAGACAUCUUAUUUGAUGGGUGAGGAUGUUUUUGAGGCAAAUGAUGGUGAUUUGGAGGAAAGAUCCUUGAUUGAGGACCCUUUGGUCGAAAAAGCUUAUGUUUUGGAGUCUUGUGAUGCGGGAGAAGUUGUUUGUGAAACUCUUGUUUCUACCCCUUCCCCUUAUGUCCCAUUUUCGAGAAAGCUUGGCCUAGUUCCUUCAUUUCCCAUCUCAAUCCCUUUUUCUUUUCUCAAAACAUCUUCAUUAGAUGAUAAUCUUGCCUCCAUUGUCCUCAAAGUUCCCAAUUCAAUCAUGCUUAAGGAAAAGAGUGAGCAUAAAUUAGCGCACCUUAGUCCUUGUGGAUUUCGACCCUUACUUGCCGCUUUACUUGUGUUUAGUGGUUAGUUUAGGUUUUUUUAUUUGAUUAGGAGAGACUAGUAUCGACCUAGUUUUCCCCUCGAUCAGAAAGUUGCCUUCAAUUAAUCAGAUUCUUCAGAUAUUUGUAAGCAGUGAGCACCAUGAUUAGAUAUAAAAGAAACUCCCAUUUCUUUCAUAGUCCGAGCUUGAAUGUUUUGUUUCAUCUCAUUGAACCUUUUGCUCUAUGCCUCUGGAACUUCUACAGAGCUUAAUGAUGUUGACAUGUUGUUUAUUAUUAUAUGGAAAUCAAGGGUAUUGAAUUAAAAUUGUUUGAUUUUAAUGCAAGGAUAUCUGGAACCUCUUUUAUGUUGCAGGUGACAAAACAAUACAAUGGUGGCUGCAAAACAACUACUAGGAUUGAACGAUCCUGAAGAGAAGAUGAGAUUACUUCGGCUAGAGCAAGAGGAGGUUGAGAGAAUGGAGGCGGACUAGCUAGAGUUUGAGGAGAGAGAAAGCAUUGGAGAUGGAGAAGAAGAAGAGGUAGCAAGAAGAAUAGGAAGAACAAGCGCAACUCGAAGAAGAAGAAUCUUAGAGAGGGCUGAUACGCUGCACAAGAUAAACAAUUGCAGCAAAAGGGAAAAGAAGAUGAUGGGGAUAGGCAUCUGAUUCAAACAAUAACGAAGAAUAAGAAAUAUAGUGUGUCGAUUCAGGCUAAUGAUGAAUAUGAUUAUGAUGGGGCACCAACCAAAAAGAGAAGGAGAAAAGGUGCAGACCAUGAGAACAGAUCACAUUCUGUGCAGAAUCUGGUGAAGCACAUUGUUACUCAACAGGAGCGAUGCUUAUGCUGUUUUGAGAACCCAAAGAGACCUAAACAUCUUGUUGUAGCUAUAGCAAAUUUUACAUACCUAAUGCUACCGCACUUCCAUCCAGUUGCCCCUGGCCAUUGUUGCAUAUUAACAUUGCAGGUGCCAUUCCAGUAGAGUUCAGAUGUCUUACCAAGCUUGAGGUACUGGAUUUGAGCGGCAAUUAUUUGACUGGAUUGGUUCCGGCAGAGAUUGCAGACAUGGAGUCACUGAAACGAUUAUUACUUAGUGACAACAACUUCAAAGACACCAUCCCUCCGGAGCUUGAGGAGCGUAGCCAGCUGUCUGAGCUGCAGUUUAUGAAUACCUUGCAUCUGUUACCAACAGAAAAUUUGGCCAAUGCACAUCCGCACUGAUCUUGUAAUGAGACAGGGAACAUAACAAUACUGAGAAGGGCUACAAAAAUCACGCAUAAGGCACAGACGACCAUUGCUCUCUCUGCCAAGUGACAUCUUUGUGCAACGAUCGUCACCUCUAAGACCGAAUUACCAGAAACCCACAAUUAACAUCCGUCAUGCAUGGGUCUUUGAUCCUAAGAGCUUAUAUUCAGACUCAGAUGAUCUCAGAUUUGUCGAAGACACUGUCAACAACACCAAGUUUCUCCCAGGUGUAAACCUGUGGUACAAUAUCCUUCCAGAAACGACAUGCUCUCAAUUCCUAUUGCGCUUUUGGCGAAGGACAACAAUGGGAAGCAUCGGGAAUUGAUAAAGAGAAUAGAAGCUAAUCCAUAUAUGUCAUGUGAUGUCGAUAAUGUUACACUUCUUUCAAAAGUGUUAUCAAGUUCGUGGUUCAAGGGGUUCCCGAGAAAACGCAAGUUAGGUGGAGCACAUAAGAAUAAUCUUACAUUGUGAUAACAUAGAUCAGUUGUUAAACUAAAUACUUUAGCUAUAAUGCAUUAACCCUAGGCUGUUUGAUUUAAUUCAAUGUUUGGUACCUCUCCUUAUCAAGCUUUAAGACAUGUCUUGAUCAAUCCAACAUAGUGAACAUUGCUUGAAAGGGAACUGAGAUGGAUACAAUAUUUUAUGUUGGUCUGUCUUCUAUAUAUGUUAGCGGUUGGAGAAUUCAUGACCGAGAUCAAACAAGUGGCCCUAACUUCAGAAUUUUCACCGCUAGAAAUUGACCAAUAUUGUACAAAUCUAAGAAUUAGUCAAUUAUGUUUACCGGAGGAGGGGGGAAACAAGUUACGUAAAUGGUUAGACGAGGUAACACAAAUCAAAAUAGAUGGAUGAAAUGCUGCGGAGAAAUGGUUAGUUAGGUGAAUCCAACCCUAACAUAUUCACGAAGGUAUAAAUGAAUCAUGUAAUAUUUAUCUAAUUGUUAUUUAUUUUUCCGGGGAUUUUCGCUAAUCGUUGUGCCUAUUUUCUAAUAUGAUUUUGACAAUUAAUUUAUAUAUCAACAACUAGUAAUCAACAAAAAGAAGAGAAUCAUAUUCUAACUUGUUAUAAUCAACAAAGGAUUCUACGGAGUAACUUUGUCUUUUCUAUUUUCAAGGAUUCUUCUUGUAUUUUAUCUUAUAAUCUGCACCUACUGAUUUCUUCAUUUGCUGAAACAAACUGCUUAACAAAGGAGUAUCCAUAAGGACUUCCCGGUGUUCGUCUCAGGUACUGAGGUAUCAAGGAUGGGAUCACCCCACUUGGAAUCAACCUUUGACCAAAUCGUCCAAGUAUUCUUCUACAUGGACAAAAAUGGUGACGGAAAACUUAACAAGAAAGAUAUGGUUGUGGCAUUUACUGAAACUUCUUCGGAGA